CGCUCUUCCUAAAAAUAGUCUUCAUUUCUUCCCGUAGAAGGACUUCAUUUUAAAAGUGGCCAUUAAUAAUUAUGUUGACAUUUCACCAAAGGUCAAAUAGACUUUAAGACUUUGUUCAAAACUAAAUAUUCACUGAAAGUAGCCCGGAAUGUUCUAGAAGGCAGGAAGAGCCAUCAAAUAAACAAGGUUCUGCCUGUUCAAGGCCCAUCCUAGAACUAACUGGACUUAAUGUUGUGACAUCAACAGCCAACGCUUGACAGUCUUCAUCCUUAAGGCUUCGACAAGAACUCUCCACCGCACAGGUAAGACUGUUCAACUAAAACCACGACAAGGUGACUCUAUUGAUUCCCAUGCAGUUAAAGUAGCGGCCAUUUUCAAGUGGGGUGUCGUUAAAAGGGUUGUCUGAGGCUCAUAUUUUAUUUAGCGUCCCCAAGCAGUUAGAAUAGGUGCAGAUGGAUCCUUCCAGAAGCUGCUUUUGUGGAGUGCCACUGUGCACACUAUCUACUGUACUCCAUGUCGACCAUGGAAAUACACUAGAUGCAUUUUAUUAAGACACACCUCUCAGGUAAUGAAUCAUUCAGGCUUGGGACGCCAUAUUUGCUUUAUUUUCUCUUGUAAUAGCCGAGUUGUUUCCCGAGAGCAAUUCCCACUGUGGUGAGAUAUGGUCCUGGAUAUUUCUGUGCAGUCAUCAGCAAA